rnacentral:rRNA from 1 species
UACGUAGGGGGCAAGCGUUGUCCGGAAUCAUUGGGCGUAAAGAGCGUGUAGGCGGCUCGAUAAGUCUGCUGUGAAAGUCCAGGGCUCAACCCUGGAAAGCCGGUGGAUACUGUCGGGCUAGAGUCCGGAAGAGGAGAGUGGAAUUCCCGGUGUAGCGGUGAAAUGCGCAGAUAUCGGGAAGAACACCCGUGGCGAAGGCGGCUCUCUGGGACGGUACUGACGCUGAGACGCGAAAGCGUGGGGAGCGAACAGG